rnacentral:rRNA from 1 species
CCAGCAGCCGCGGUAAUACGUAGGGGGCAAGCGUUAUCCGGAAUUACUGGGUGUAAAGGGAGCGUAGACGGUGAUGUAAGUCUGGAGUGAAAGGCGGGGGUCCAACCCCCGGACUGCUCUGGAAACUAUGUGACUGGAGUACGGGAGGGGCAGGCGGAAUUCCUGGUGUAGCGGUGAAAUGCGUAGAUAUCAGGAGGAACACCGGCGGCGAAGGCGGCCUGCUGGACCGUGACUGACGUUGAGGCUCGAGAGCGUGGGGAGCAAACAG